GGGGUGGGGAACAUCUGGCCUGCUCCGUAUAAGGCACACAGAGUCAUUUGGUCUGGCCCUGCCAAGGCAUUAGGAGCGUCAAGCAAAAAAAGAAAAAAGAUACUUAUGCUCAGGCCGCCAUCUUGAACUCAAAGUCAGCUAACGGGACAGAGGCGAUCCUCCCGCACCUUGGCCUUCAGCGUCUUGAUCUCCUCUGCUCCAGUGAGCCUGUCCUCCACGUACGUCAGCAACUCAUUCCCGUGGUCACACCUCCUACCUUUCCAGCUCACAUCAUCUGGCAUCCAACAAUCCUCAUCCUCAGAUGUUCGCCUAACUCGGCUUGAAUUCCACAGACCCGUGGUCGGCAAACUGCGGCUCGCGAGCCAC